UCCCUGGUGGUCCAGUGGCUAAGGCUCCUUGCUUCCAAUGCAGGAGGCCUGGGUUUGAUCCCUGGUCAGGGAA
rnacentral:tRNA from 1 species